GUUACUGAGACCCUUCAAGAUUCCCAGUGUAAUUCAAUAAAGAAAAGGCAACACAAAGGGGUUGUAUAGAAUUCGCCACAUUAUGGACCCAUGUCAUAGAGAGAAUCCACGGUGCAUUUGUUAGCUGCAUUUAAAUGACAACACUUUCAGAUCCAAGAUUUAUUUGGGAUAAAAAUUUACCUGGAUGCAAGGCUAUUCAGAAUGAAGAUUAAUGAUAUGGUUUGGCUGUGUCCCCACCCAAACUUCAUCUUGAAUUCCCACGUGUUGUGAGAGGGACCUGGUGGGAGAUAAUUGAACCAUGGGGGCAGGUCUUUCUCAUGCUGUUCUCAUGAGAGUGAAUAAGUCUCAUGAAACCUGAUGGUUUUAUAAGGGGGAAUUUCCCUGCACAAGCUCUCUCUCUGCCUUUUGCCAUCCAUGUAAGACGUGACUUGGUCCUCCUUGCCUUCUACCAUGAUUAUGAGGCCUCCCCAGCCACGUGGAACUGUG
rnacentral:lncRNA from 10 species